rnacentral:snRNA from 1 species
UUGCUUUGGCAGCACAUAUACUAAAAUUAGAAUGGCACAGAGAUUAGCAUGGUCCCUACACAAGGAUGACAUGCAAAUUCAUGAAGCAUUCCACAUUUUU